rnacentral:rRNA from 2 species
AGAGUUUGAUCCUGGCUCAGAACGUACGCUGGCGGCACGCCUAACACAUGCAAGUCGAACGAAGUAGCAAUACUUAGUGGCAGACGGGUGAGUAACAUGUAGGUAUCUGCCCUUUGGCCUGGAAUAACACGAGGAAACUUGUGCUAAUACCGGAUAAGUCUUUACGGAGAAAGCUUUAUGCACCAUUGGAUGAGCCCGCGUACGAUUAGUUUGUUGGUGAGGUAAAGGCUCACCAAGACUACGAUCGUUAGCUGGUUUGAGAGGAUGAUCAGCCACAUUGGGACUGAGACACGGCCCAAACUCCUACGGGAGGCAGCAGUGGGGAAUCUUGCACAAUGGAGGAAACUCUGAUGCAGCGAUGCCGCGUGAGUGAAGAAGGCCUUUGGGUUGUAAAGCUCUUUCGUCGGGGAAGAAAAUGACUGUACCCGAAUAAGAAGGUCCGGCUAACUUCGUGCCAGCAGCCGCGGUAAUACGAAGGGACCUAGCGUAGUUCGGAAUUACUGGGCUUAAAGAGUUCGUAGGUGGUUGAAAAAGUUAGUGGUGAAAUCCCAGAGCUUAACUCUGGAACUGCCAUUAAAACUUUUCAGCUAGAGUAUGAUAGAGGAAAGCAGAAUUUCUAGUGUAGAGGUGAAAUUCGUAGAUAUUAGAAAGAAUACCAAUUGCGAAGGCAGCUUUCUGGAUCAUUACUGACACUGAGGAACGAAAGCAUGGGUAGCGAAGAGGAUUAGAUACCCUCGUAGUCCAUGCCGUAAACGAUGUGUGUUAGACGUUGGAAAUUUAUUUUCAGUGUCGCAGGGAAACCGAUAAACACACCGCCUGGGGAGUACGACCGCAAGGUUAAAACUCAAAUGAAUUGACGGGGACCCGCACAAGUAGUGGAGCAUGUGGUUUAAUUCGAAGAUACGCGCAGAACCUUACCAACACUUGACAUGUUCGUCGCGACUCUAAGAGAUUAGAGUUUUCGGUUCGGCCGGACGAAACACAGGUGCUGCAUGGCUGUCGUCAGCUCGUGUCGUGAGAUGUUGGGUUAAGUCCCGCAACGAGCGCAACCCUCACUUUUAGUUGCCAUCAUUAAGUUGGGCACUCUGAAAGAACUGCCAGUGAUAAGCUGGAGGAAGGUGGGGAUGACGUCAAGUCCUCAUGGCCCUUACGUGUUGGGCUACACACGUGCUACAAUGGUAUCUACAACAGGAAGCAAGACUGCGAAGUUAAGCAAAUCCCUAAAAGAUACCUCAGUUCGGAUUGCACUCUGCAACUCGAGUGCAUGAAGCUGGAAUUACUAGUAAUCGUGGAUCAGCGUGCCACGGUGAAUGCGUUCCCGGGUCUUGUACACACCGCCCGUCACACCAUGGGAGUUGGUUCUACCUUAAGGCAAGGUUUCAAACCCUUGACCACGGUAUAGUCAGCGACUGGGGUGAAGUCGUAACAAGGUAACC